AUGUACGUGGUUCUAUGCUGUAGGGUAGACAACUUCUGCAGUGUCAUUAAAUGCUUUUGCUGCUGCCAAGAUUUAUUUUUAUCUUGUGGAAUAGGUCAAACUGAUUUUUGUUGCAGAAAUGGUACAUCCAAGUUUAAUUUUGAAGCAUUGAGAGAUAGAUCAACUGAAUCUGCAACAGUGUUUGGUGAUGCAAAUUCAAACUUCAUUUAG